rnacentral:rRNA from 1 species
GUCGGUUAAAUACCGACCUGCAUGAAUGGCGUAACGAGAUGGGAGCUGUCUCAAAGAGGGAUCCAGUGAAAUUGUAGUGGAGGUGAAAAUUCCUCCUACCCGCGGCAAGACGGAGAGACCCCGUGGACCUUUACUACAGCUUGACACUGCUAUUUGGAUAAGAAUGUGCAGGAUAGGUGGGAGGCUUUGAGUAUAUGACGCCAGUUGUAUAUGAGCCAUUGUUGAGAUACCACUCUUUCUUAUUUGGGUAGCUAACCAGCUUGAGUUAUCCUCAAGUGGGACAAUGUCUGGUGGGUAGUUUGACUGGGGCGGUCGCCUCCCAAAUAAUAACGGAGGCUUACAAAGGUUGGCUCAGAACGGUUGGAAAUCGUUCGUAGAGUAUAAAGGUAUAAGCCAGCUUAACUGCAAGACAUACAAGUCAAGCAGAGACGAAAGUCGGUCUUAGUGAUCCGGUGGUUCUGUGUGGAAGGGCCAUCGCUCAAAGGAUAAAAGGUACCCCGGGGAUAACAGGCUGAUCUCCCCCAAGAGCUCACAUCGACGGGGAGGUUUGGCACCUCGAUGUCGGCUCAUCGCAUCCUGGGGCUGGAGCAUGUCCCA